GAGGGUAUGGAAAGGCAGAUCGCAGCGUUGUCCAAUUUGGCAGCUGAUUUUUGUUGGAUGACACAGGUUACUACUCCUCCCCGCUUCCCCAGUUUAACAAAAGGGAAAUUCAUCCCCAACUCAUAGACACAUCCAGUGACUUUACCCCUGGGGAAAGACAAGAUAGGCCUUAACUCCGAGUGAUGGGAAUGGAAAGAGCCACGUACUGAAUAGUGUUUCCAGCCGAACCAAACAUCGAACAAAAUUGUUAAAAUCGAUGGUGAGUUCGUCGUCUGCAAACCGGGCAACGAUGACUUGGUGGAGUUGACAGGGCAGCUUGAAACCUGGAGAAAAGGAACUUUAACAGGCCCAUCGCUGUCUGGGCAUGCUGACUGCACUUCCCAGCUUCCCUUGCAGCUGUAGGAGAUCUUGUAAGUUCUGGCUAAUAGUGUGUGUGAGCAGAAGUCAUGGGUGUGUCUUCAAAGGCAAGGAGCCAUUUGUGUGUGGACCUGCUGGCAGCAUGUGAUGGUGGUGACCUGCUGUCCUAGAUCCUAAGCAGUAGAGAGGAGGAGCCUGGGUGUUAAUGGCUGUUCCAGACAAAACUUGGAUUCAGGAGGACCCGAAGACAGAGCUUCCGGGAAGACAUUUAAUUUGAGCAGUCCGUCUUUUCCAGGGGAGUGAGGAGGAUGUAUUGGUACACUGUUAGUCCAGCAUUCGCUUUGUGCCACAGCUUAUGCCACCAAUCAAAGUUUGGUUCAUCUAACUUCUUUGUGAUGCUGGGGUAGGACCCAGGGUUUUGUGCAUGCUAGGCAAGAGCUCUACCUCCGAGCUGCAUCUUCAGACCCACCAACAAAGCUUUAUAUUGUAUGGUAUAGAACCAGGCUCAACAGAAAACAGGCGAGGAGGUGUGGGUACGAAGUGUUACCUGCUUCUUCCAGUGCUUUCCGCAUCUCGUAGGAAUUCAUGGUUCCGGACCUGUCAACGUCGAUUUCCCGGUAAAUUUUCUGGAACAUGAAAAAUACUUAUUAGAACCACGACCCCAAACAAAACAGGUGUCAGGUGCCUGCGAGUGGUGUGGAGUGUUCCCAUCUCUGCGCCUCUAGUUUGGCCUUACUUUCAAUAUUUAGUAGGGCAGUGGGUCUCCACCUUCCUAACGCUGCGACCCUUUAAUAUAGUUUCCUCCUGUU